UACAGAGACUGCGAGCGUUAUUCGGAUUCACUGGGCGUAAAGGGUGCGCAGGCGGCCGAGUGUGUGAGGCGUGAAAGCCCGGGGCUUAACCCCGGAAUUGCACCUCAAACUACACGGCUAGAGCAUUGGAGAGGGUAGCAGAAUUCAUGGUGUAGCAGUGAAAUGCGUAGAUAUCAAGUGGAACACCAGUGGCGAAGGCGAGUCCCUGGACAACACCUGACACUGAGGCACGAAAGCUAGGGGAGCAAACAGG
rnacentral:rRNA from 1 species